rnacentral:rRNA from 1 species
AUUGAACGCUGGCGGCAGGCUUAACACAUGCGAGUCGAACGAUGAAACUCUAGCUUGCUAGAGAUGAUUAGUGGCGGACGGGUGAGUAACAUUUAGGAAUCUGCCUAGUAGUGGGGGAUAGCUCGGGGAAACUCGAAUUAAUACCGCAUACGACCUACGGGUGAAAGGGGGCGCAAGCUCUUGCUAUUAGAUGAGCCUAAAUCAGAUUAGCUAGUUGGUGGGGUAAAGGCCCACCAAGGCGACGAUCUGUAACUGGUCUGAGAGGAUGAUCAGUCACACCGGAACUGAGACACGGUCCGGACUCCUACGGGAGGCAGCAGUGGGGAAUAUUGGACAAUGGGGGCAACCCUGAUCCAGCCAUGCCGCGUGUGUGAAGAAGGCCUUUUGGUUGUAAAGCACUUUAAGCAGGGAGGAGAGGCUAAUGGUUAAUACCCAUUAGAUUAGACGUUACCUGCAGAAUAAGCACCGGCUAACUCUGUG